rnacentral:rRNA from 2 species
UUAAAUUGAAGAGUUUGAUCAUGGCUCAGAUUGAACGCUGGCGGCAGGCCUAACACAUGCAAGUCGAACGGUAACAGGAAGCAGCUUGCUGCUUCGCUGACGAGUGGCGGACGGGUGAGUAAUGUCUGGGAAACUGCCUGAUGGAGGGGGAUAACUACUGGAAACGGUGGCUAAUACCGCAUAACGUCGCAAGACCAAAGAGGGGGACCUUCGGGCCUCUUGCCAUCAGAUGUGCCCAGAUGGGAUUAGCUAGUUGGUGAGGUAACGGCUCACCAAGGCGACGAUCCCUAGCUGGUCUGAGAGGAUGACCAGCCACACUGGAACUGAGACACGGUCCAGACUCCUACGGGAGGCAGCAGUGGGGAAUAUUGCACAAUGGGCGCAAGCCUGAUGCAGCCAUGCCGCGUGUAUGAAGAGGGCCUUCGGGUUGUAAAGUACUUUCAGCGGGGAGGAAGGUGUUGUGGUUAAUAACCGCAGCAAUUGACGUUACCCGCAGAAGAAGCACCGGCUAACUCCGUGCCAGCAGCCGCGGUAAUACGGAGGGUGCAAGCGUUAAUCGGAAUUACUGGGCGUAAAGCGCACGCAGGCGGUCUGUCAAGUCGGAUGUGAAAUCCCCGGGCUCAACCUGGGAACUGCAUUCGAAACUGGCAGGCUUGAGUCUUGUAGAGGGGGGUAGAAUUCCAGGUGUAGCGGUGAAAUGCGUAGAGAUCUGGAGGAAUACCGGUGGCGAAGGCGGCCCCCUGGACAAAGACUGACGCUCAGGUGCGAAAGCGUGGGGAGCAAACAGGAUUAGAUACCCUGGUAGUCCACGCCGUAAACGAUGUCUACUUGGAGGUUGUGCCCUUGAGGCGUGGCUUCCGGAGCUAACGCGUUAAGUAGACCGCCUGGGGAGUACGGCCGCAAGGUUAAAACUCAAAUGAAUUGACGGGGGCCCGCACAAGCGGUGGAGCAUGUGGUUUAAUUCGAUGCAACGCGAAGAACCUUACCUGGUCUUGACAUCCACAGAACUUUCCAGAGAUGGAUUGGUGCCUUCGGGAACUGUGAGACAGGUGCUGCAUGGCUGUCGUCAGCUCGUGUUGUGAAAUGUUGGGUUAAGUCCCGCAACGAGCGCAACCCUUAUCCUUUGUUGCCAGCGGUUAGGCCGGGAACUCAAAGGAGACUGCCAGUGAUAAACUGGAGGAAGGUGGGGAUGACGUCAAGUCAUCAUGGCCCUUACGACCAGGGCUACACACGUGCUACAAUGGCGCAUACAAAGAGAAGCGACCUCGCGAGAGCAAGCGGACCUCAUAAAGUGCGUCGUAGUCCGGAUUGGAGUCUGCAACUCGACUCCAUGAAGUCGGAAUCGCUAGUAAUCGUGGAUCAGAAUGCCACGGUGAAUACGUUCCCGGGCCUUGUACACACCGCCCGUCACACCAUGGGAGUGGGUUGCAAAAGAAGUAGGUAGCUUAACCUUCGGGAGGGCGCUUACCACUUUGUGAUUCAUGACUGGGGUGAAGUCGUAACAAGGUAACCGUAGGGGAACCUGCGGUUGGAUCACCUCCUUACCUUAAAGAAGC